rnacentral:rRNA from 1 species
AACGAACGCUGGCGGCAUGCCUAACACAUGCAAGUCGAACGAGACCUUCGGGUCUAGUGGCGCACGGGUGCGUAACGCGUGGGAACCUGCCCUUAGGUUCGGAAUAACUCCCCGAAAGGGGUGCUAAUACCGGAUAAUGUCUUCGGACCAAAGAUUUAUCGCCUUUGGAUGGGCCCGCGCUGGAUUAGCUAGUUGGUAGGGUAAAAGCCUACCAAGGCGACGAUCCAUAGCUGGUCUGAGAGGAUGAUCAGCCACACUGGGACUGAGACACGGCCCAGACUCCUACGGGAGGCAGCAGUGGGGAAUAUUGGACAAUGGGCGAGAGCCUGAUCCAGCAAUGCCGCGUGAGUGAUGAAGGCCUUAGGGUUGUAAAGCUCUUUUACCCGGGAUGAUAAUGACAGUACCGGGAGAAUAAGCGCCGGCUAACUCCGUG